rfam:Clostridium sp. CAG:710 genomic scaffold, scf6
UUUUUGGAGAGUUUGAUCCUGGCUCAGGAUGAACGCUGGCGGCAUGCCUAAGACAUGCAAGUCGAACGGAGCGGCCCAUUGAAAUGGAGUGCUUGCACAAAGUGGAUUUGGAUUCCCGCUUAGUGGCGAAAGGGUGAGUAACACGUGGGUUAUCUACCUCAGAGACUGGAAUAACAAUUGGAAACGAUUGCUAAUGCCGGAUGAUAUAUAAAACGAUACGUUGUUUUAUAUUAAAAGGAGCCUUUAAAGCUUCACUUUGAGAUGAGCCCGCGGCGU